ACCUGAUUUUUAAUUCCGUAGACCCUAGCUCGCGUAGUGCUGGGCACUUCCGCAGAUACGGCAGGUGUUGUUGAGGCGAUAGUAAGGUCAGUCCCCAUGGUCCUUGCUGCGGUGCUUACAAGUCCUGUUAAAGAGGACCUAGAUCAUGUUGGGGAGGGAUUGAGUGAUUCUGUGAUGGCACUCGGUUGUAUGGUGGGGUACCGGAUUGUACUGUGGCAGUGUUAGAUUAUACAGUAGAGAGGCAGGAUUGUAUUGAGAUGGCACUGAACCCUUUUGUUGUAGUGGUGACUCAUACUGUAGUAGUGAUGGAGGGUCAGACAGCUCCCUCAUCUUUGCCCUGGCCUGCUGAGCAUUGAUAAGUCUCUCUAACAUCUCGAAGAACCAUCGAUAUCCUCUCGAAACGACCCAUCUUGGGCUACCUUGUUUAGUAAAGGCCCUCCUCUCCUCAUGUCCUUUUACUUACUUUUCAUAAUGAAGGUUUGAGAGUGAUAGUUUGUAUUUUGUUGUUUUUAAGUCUUUGUGUAAGGAAUGGUUCCGAGGAACGCGGCUCUGAUAUUGAUACCAACUGUAGAGGUUCGAAACUUAAAGAAAAAUAAAUUCAUGAAUUAAAUGCGAAAGCGAUUAAUAAAGUUAGAGUUUACAUUCCUUACACAAUAAUUUUGAAUGCUCAAUAGGGUUACGGGAAUGUCAUUUCUAAAAGAUAAAUGAAA
rnacentral:lncRNA from 1 species